UACGAAGGGGGCUAGCGUUGUUCGGAAUCACUGGGCGUAAAGGGCGCGUAGGCGGCUUUAUAAGUCGGGGGUGAAAGCCUGUGGCUCAACCACAGAAUUGCCUUCGAUACUGUAGAGCUUGAGACCGGAAGAGGUAAGUGGAACUGCGAGUGUAGAGGUGAAAUUCGUAGAUAUUCGCAAGAACACCAGUGGCGAAGGCGGACUUACUGGUCCGGUUCUGACGCUGAGGCGCGAAAGCGUGGGGAGCAAACAGG
rnacentral:rRNA from 1 species